rnacentral:rRNA from 1 species
AUUGAACGCUGGCGGCAGGCUUAACACAUGCAAGUCGAGCGGGGAAGGGUAGCUUGCUACCUAACCUAGCGGCGGACGGGUGAGUAAUGCUUAGGAAUCUGCCAUUUAGUGGGGGACAACAUUCCGAAAGGAAUGCUAAUACCGCAUACGUCCUACGGGAGAAAGCAGGGGAUCUUCGGACCUUGCGCUAAAUGAUGAGCCUAAGUCGGAUUAGCUAGUUGGUGGGGUAAAGGCCUACCAAGGCGACGAUCUGUAGCGGGUCUGAGAGGAUGAUCCGCCACACUGGGACUGAGACACGGCCCAGACUCCUACGGGAGGCAGCAGUGGGGAAUAUUGGACAAUGGGCGGAAGCCUGAUCCAGCCAUGCCGCGUGUGUGAAGAAGGCCUUAUGGUUGUAAAGCACUUUAAGCGAGGAGGAGGCUACCUAGAUUAAUACUCUAGGAUAGUGGACGUUACUCGCAGAAUAAGCACCGGCUAACUCUGUGCCAGCCGCCGCCGUAACAC